rnacentral:rRNA from 1 species
GAUGAACGCUGGCGGCGUGCCUAAUACAUGCAAGUCGAGCGAACAGACGAGGAGCUUGCUCCUCUGACGUUAGCGGCGGACGGGUGAGUAACACGUGGAUAACCUACCUAUAAGACUGGGAUAACUUCGGGAAACCGGAGCUAAUACCAGAUAAUAUAUUGAACCGCAUGGUUCAAUAGUGAAAGACGGUUUUGCUGUCACUUAUAGAUGGAUCCGCGCCGCAUUAGCUAGUUGGUAAGGUAACGGCUUACCAAGGCAACGAUGCGUCGCCGACCUGAGAGGGUGAUCGGCCACACUGGAACUGAGACACGGUCCAGACUCCUACGGGAGGCAGCAGUAGGGAAUCUUCCGCAAUGGGCGAAAGCCUGACGGAGCAACGCCGCGUGAGUGAUGAAGGUCUUCGGAUCGUAAAACUCUGUUAUUAGGGAAGAACAAAUGUGUAAGUAACUAUGCACGUCUUGACGGUACCUAAUCAGAAAGCCACGGCUAACUACGUG